rnacentral:rRNA from 1 species
GACGAACGCUGGCGGCGUGCUUAACACAUGCAAGUCGAACGGAAAGGCCCUGCUUUUGUGGGGUGCUCGAGUGGCGAACGGGUGAGUAACACGUGAGUAACCUGCCCUUGACUUUGGGAUAACUUCAGGAAACUGGGGCUAAUACCGGAUAGGAGCUCCUGCUGCAUGGUGGGGGUUGGAAAGUUUCGGCGGUUGGGGAUGGACUCGCGGCUUAUCAGCUUGUUGGUGGGGUAGUGGCAUACCAAGGCUUUGACGGGUAGCCGGCCUGAGAGGGUGACCGGCCACAUGGGGACUGAGAUACGGCCCAGACUCCUACGGGAGGCAGCAGUGGGGAAUAUGGCACAAUGGGCGGAAGCCGGAUGCAGCAACGCCGCGUGCGGGAGGACGGCCUUCGGGUGGUAAACCGCUUUCGCCUGUGACGAAGCGUGAGUGACGGUAAUGGGUAAAGAAGCACCGGCUAACUACGU